UUAAUUCCUUCCAAAAAUUUUAAUUCCCUCCGAAACUAAAAACAGGAAAGAAAACCCGAGCAGAUUCAUCACCUUCUCACUCCUAUUACUUAGAAACAGAACUCAAUUUCCCCAAUUUGAUGACAUUGACUCGCGUUCUGCGUUCCUUUCUCUCGCCAUUGUCUUGGAAGGUUCUUUCGAGUGGAUGCGCCAGCUCCAUGGAAGCUUGCUCGGGCGGCGCGUGAGUUUCAUGGUUGAUUGCGGAGGCGCGUUGGUCUCCAAUCUCCCCCAGACGAACGCUUGGAUGGCGUUCAGAAUCAAUUAAAAAUCAUGAAUAACCCUAAAUCCCUAAUCCCAUCCUUAACACAAUUUCCCUAAUUUCACAACGCUGAUGCGCGCAUUCUGCGUUUCUCUUUGCUCCGUCAAGUUCUGCUCUACUCCGCCGUGUUCUUCUGCUCCGCCGUGUUCUUCUCGCGUCGAGUUCUGCUUUGCUCCACCAUGUUCUUCUGCUCGCGCCGAGACUUGGGAAUAGCUAACCACAACUUGAAAUCUGUUCUGGCAACAACAAACAUGAAGAUUGCAGAGAAAUGAACAACAGUGAAGGUCCUUGUAGCAGCAGGGAAGAAAGUAUUGGAACAGAGAAUGAGAUGACUGAGUAAUAAUUUACACCAGGGCUAGUUGAUAUUAAUUUUUUUCUGCAUUAAACUUUAGAUCCUAAGCCAUACAUUGCAAUUUACACCAGACCGCUUGUGGCAUGAUCUGUUUCCUUCUCAAUAGAAAGUAUUAUUUAGAAACCCCCCUCCUCCCAAGCCUCUUGUGUUAGUCAGGUUCUACCAUGAUUUCAGUUCUGGUAUGGACUGUUACAUAUCUGGAAAAUCAUAUAGAGAGAAGUGAAUCUGAUGAGAUGGGUUUUUCAUUUCGUCUUUUAUGCUUCUCUUGAAAGGUGUCCAUCGUUGCCCAGUAAUAUAACUCGUUAUUAUUUGAGCUACAUCUGGACUCUACAUUCAUUAACACAAAUAAUAUACAGUCUUGUACAUUUUGUGGAUUUGCUUUUUUAUUAAUCUGUUUAACGUUUUUCAGAAUACUUAUUCAUUUUUAAGUAUAUAUUCAUCAAUAGUUGCUUUAUGCCAGAACAUAUUUGCUCGUGAAGCUCUAUUAUUCAACCAGUUUUAGAGCGCUAGGAGAUCAUAUUUGACUAUGAAAUACAACCUUGAACCGAGUUUUUUUUCUAAUAAAAUAUAUAGACAUUUGAAAUGAAACAGGAUUCGGAAGUGGAAGGCUGGUUCAAUUGGCAUUGGUUCUGGUCCUUGCCAAAGUGCAUCUUGGUUUCAAGUCGCUAGCAUAUAAUGCUAUGCUUUGAGGUUCGAGGCCCAAACAUGUUCAGAAACAACUCUUGUGGUUAGUACGGGGGCAACGGCAGAAGCUUUCAGAGUUGUUGAUGCUCCUGCCAAGGUUUUCUUUCUUCUGAUGGAAAACACUGAGGAGAUUCUUCUAUUUUGCACACAGAUCUUCCAGUUCCAGGCUCAGUGCUUAAAAUGAUUCUUCUGGUGGUGGAGUUAACAAGCUACAAGAAGAAAAAGUCAUAACAGGUUUAUUAGAUGCAAGUGGAGAGUAUACUCUUGCUUAUGAGGAUAACGAAGGAGAUAGAAUGUUUGUUAGAAAUGUGCCAUGGCACCAAAACUCGCUGUUUGUUAUAUGUAUCACAUGCAUCAACCAAAUCAAAGAAAAAAUUAAGUGUGUAAUCUUAGUUUGAAGCUUUUCUUACUUCAUAAAGUACAACAACAAAUGGGAUCAAAAAGGUUAGUUCUAUGAGAAGCAUAUAUAUUUCAACAGUAAUCACCUAUAAAGAUAUCUAUAUUUCAAAAGCAUAUAUAUUUUGUCACUAACAUAAUAAUAUAAUUUUUAGUGUGUAAUUUUUCUUGGAUUGUAUAUAAGAUUGUAAUGGACUAGAAAUCUCCUGGGGGAAGAAUUGAUAACUUAGAUUUUAAUGAGAUUGAACGGCCUGAGCAUCGGCUGGACUAUUCAUUGAAGCAAAUUAGGCCUAACAAGUAACAAGGUAUGCAAAUUUAGUAGCCGACUCAUCAACUUUAUAUUGAGUUCACUGGGCUGAUAUCAUUAUGGUAAUUAGAGAUUAUGUUGGUUGAUUACCUUUAAUUUGUUCAUAGUUGCUUAUAUGUGAUCAUAGUUUAUCGGGAUUUGGUGGCAUAUAUACAACUAGCUUUAAAGAUUUUCACUUAGUAAUUUUUGGUAUACUGAAUGCUUCACUAACAAAGGAAUUUUGCACUGUAAUUUUUCUCAUUUAUUUAUUAAAUUACUGAGACAGAUGUGGACUUCAAGAUCAAGCUUUUUACAAUUGAUGGCAAAAGAGUGAAGCUUACUAUUUGGGACACAGUCAACCACAAAGAACCCUAGUCGAAGUAGAACAUCGAAGGUUCCAGAGUGGUGUGGGUGUAGCUACUGUCUUGUUCUCUAAUGGUCAUUAGAAAGUGGUAGUGCGGUUUAUUUGUGUGGGCUGACAAUGGCCAAAAAAAGGUGAAUUCUACAGAGGACAUUGACCAAGUGAAGGUCAAUUUUACUUGGAGAAUUAGAAUGUUAGAAGCUGAAGUUAAAAUCCAAAAAACAUAUAUGUAUAGUAGUUGGCUGUGUUUAUAAUGUUUGUUGCUGGUUUCAUGUUAGAUUUUAAGGUUUGAGGAGUAUAACGUUUUAGUAUUGUUUAAACUCUCAAACGAUGUCGUUUAGUGUCUUCUUUAGCACCAAAAUGCAUACGACGUUAUUUUAAUAUUUGCAAUGUAGCAAGAAUUGAGCCACGUCACUAACGAUAUUGAGCGAUAUUGAGCUCUGGUAACAAAAGAUACACAAGGGACUAUAUCGGUACACUUUUUGAAUCUAGAGGACCAAAUUGUAGCAAUUAAGAAAUUAGGGACCCAACAGUAGAACUCGCAAAUCUCAAAGGCCAAAGUGAGGCUUAACUCGUUUAAAGUUUAUGUAUGGUGUAAGAAAGAAAAAUUUUUCUUAUCAAAUG